AUGUGCGAAAGCCUGACGGAGCAAUACCGCGUGAGGGAAGAAGGUCUGUGGAUUGUAAACCUCUUUUGUUAGGGAAGAUAAUGACGGUACCUAACGAAUAAGCAUCGGCUAACUCCGUGCCAGCAGCCGCGGUAAGACGGAGGAUGCAAGCGUUAUCCGGAAUUAUUGGGCGUAAAGCGUACGUAGGCGGUUUUAUAAGUCUGUUGUCAAAGCCCGAGGCUUAACCUUGGAAAGGCAAUGGAAACUGUAAGACUAGAGAGAGAUAGGGGCAGGAGGAAUUCCAGGUGUAGCGGUGAAAUGCGUAGAUAUCUGGAAGAACACCAGUGGCGAAAGCGUCCUGCUGGAUCUCAACUGACGCUGAAGUACGAAAGCUAGGGGAGCGAAUGGGAUUAGAUACCCCAGUAGUCCUAGCCGUAAACGAUGGGUACUAGGUGUUGGCCGUAUCGACCCGGUCAGUGCCGUAGCUAACGCGUUAAGUACCCCGCCUGGGGAGUACGGCCGCAAGAUUGAAACUCAAAGGAAUUGACGGGGGCCCGCACAAGCGGUGGAGUAUGUGGUUUAAUUCGAUGCAACGCGAAGAACCUUACCAAGGCUUGACAUGUCGCGAAUCCUCCUGAAAGGGAGGAGUGCCUUCGGGAGCGCGAA
rnacentral:rRNA from 1 species